UAUUCCACAAGAAUAUAAAGGCCAAGUGAGCAGUCAAACAUCUUCCCACACAUAAAAAAGAUCAAGAAAUUCAACUCCUCCGACUAGAAGGACAUGGACUGCAGCAGAAGAACGAACUCUUAUAGAUGGAUUAAAAGAGUUAUGUGUUAAUGGUUGGAGAGGUGAUAAUGGAACCUUUAAGCCUGGAUACAUAAAGGAAUUAGAAUGUUAUUUAUGUGAACAUCAUCCUAACAGCGGAUUAAAAGGUGAACCACAUGUCUUAUCUAAAAUAAGAUAUUGGAAGAAAUGUUACGCAAGUAUAGCUAUGCUAAAGAGCCGAAGUGGAUUGGGAUUUCAAUACAGUGAUGGAGCUAUAAUAGUUGAUGAUCCCAAAUUUUGGGAUGACUUCCUAUAGGUUGAUCCAAAUGCCAAAAACAUGAAUACAAAAAAAUGGUCAAUGUUUGUGGAUUGGGAGGAAAUCUUUGGCAAGGAUAGAGCAACAGGGGAAUUUGCAGAAGGCCCAUUAGAUGCUGUUAAGGAUAUUCAAAGGAGUCAAUCCUCAGUAAUGUUUAACUAUAUGAGUUUGGGAUUUGCUAUUGAUCUUGAUGGCGAUGAAGAAGCUGGUUCUAGUCAUAGACCUAAUGUGACUAAGGGAGAAGCUGGAAAUGCUACUGGAGCUACUACAUUUCCUGAAGCAUCUCAAAAUGAAAGUGCUGAAGCAUUUGAACCUG